GUGGGGAAUAUUGGACAAUGGGGGGAACCCUGAUCCAGCCAUGCCGCGUGUGUGAAGAAGGCCUUUUGGUUGUAAAGCACUUUAAGCGAGGAGGAGGCUACCGAGAUUAAUACUCUUGGAUAGUGGACGUUACUCGCAGAAUAAGCACCGGCUAACUCUGUGCCAGCAGCCGCGGUAAUACAGAGGGUGCAAGCGUUAAUCGGAUUUACUGGGCGUAAAGCGCGCGUAGGUGGCCAAUUAAGUCAAAUGUGAAAUCCCCGAGCUUAACUUGGGAAUUGCAUUCGAUACUGGUUGGCUAGAGUAUGGGAGAGGAUGGUAGAAUUCCAGGUGUAGCGGUGAAAUGCGUAGAGAUCUGGAGGAAUACCGAUGGCGAAGGCAGCCAUCUGGUCUAAUACUGACACUGAGGUGCGAAAGCAUGGGGAGCAAACAGGAUUAGAUACCCGAGUAGUCC
rnacentral:rRNA from 1 species